GGAGGGGUGUCCGAGCGGUUUAAGGAGCUGGUCUUGAAAACCAGUGAUACGGAAACGUACCAAGGGUUCGAAUCCCUUCCCCUCCGCCA
rnacentral:tRNA from 1 species